rnacentral:rRNA from 1 species
UACCGCAUAAGCGCACAGAGAUGCAUGUCUCGGUGUGAAAAGCUGAGGCGGUAUGAGAUGGAUCCGCGUCUGAUUAGCUGGUUGGCGGGGUAGAGGCCCACCAAGGCGACGAUCAGUAGCCGACCUGAGAGGGUGGCCGGCCACAUUGGGACUGAGACACGGCCCAAACUCCUACGGGAGGCAGCAGUGGGGGAUAUUGCACAAUGGGGGAAACCCUGAUGCAGCAACGCCGCGUGAGUGAAGAAGUAUUUCGGUAUGUAAAGCUCUAUCAGCAGGGAAGAGAAUGACGGUACCUGACUAAGAAGCCCCGGCUAACUACGUGCCAGCAGCCGCGGUAAUACGUAGGGGGCGAGCGUUAUCCGGAUUUACUGGGUGUAAAGGGAGCGUAGACGGCUGGUCAAGUCUGAAGUGAAAGCCCGGGGCUUAACCCCGGAACGGCUUUGGAAACUGAGCAGCUAGAGUGCUGGAGAGGUAAGCGGAAUUCCUAGUGUAGCGGUGAAAUGCGUAGAUAUUAGGAGGAACACCAGUGGCGAAGGCGGCUUACUGGACAGUAACUGACGUUGAGGCUCGAAAGCGUGGGGAGCAAACAGGAUUAGAUACCCUGGUAGUCCACGCGGUAAACGAU